UUGGGUUUUCCUACAUGCUCUCAUCCCUGUAACCUCUCUGCUACUUCUCAGGGUGCUGUGCAGAGCCUAGGCCAAGUAGUCUUUGGCUGGCUGAAUGAGAUCGGUGUGUCAGAUGGGACUUUGUCCCCCUGAUGUAGUUUCAUGAGCUGGGGUUGAAGCUUAAGGUAUCACCUUGAUUUAGUAACUAUUUUGUAAUGGCUGCUUAACUCGGGGUCGAUUUUUAAGCUGCUACUCAGCUAAUUCUCCAGGAGAGAGUUCUGAUCUGAUGGAACCAGGGUUAGCCUGGCAUCUUGCUUUGCACCUCAGAAGGCCUAAUUGCUAUAAAAGGUCUUGUCUUCUGGGGGUGGGUAUCUUGCCCUUUUACACACCAGUAUGAAACGCAAGCACUAGAUUGUGGACUUCAACCCCUUUUUGCACUUGCCCUGCUUGACAGGGUGGGCUAAGAGCUACAUCAGAGGGGAUGGGAGGGGGGGGGACUGUCUGUGUCUGCUCGCAGGAGCCUCUGAUGACAUUCUGCCAUCCGGCAGAAAGGGAUAACUGGGGCAACUCCCUUCUACUGCAUCCUAGCAGAGCUGGCAUACAAAUAUCUCUGACAAGCACAUUUUGCCUUUUAGGAGUGAGCCAGGUAUCACCAAGUGUAGGGGAAGCAAGACUUUUCCUGGGAGAGGCGGGACGCCUCUGGGCCUCUCUCAGCAUCGCCUCUCACUUCCAGUGGCCCAGGUUCAGCAGCAGGCUGUUCUGUCAGGAUAGUCAGUAUGUAUUUCAGGAGCCAAUUAUAGACAUAUAUUGUUAUAUUUGUUGUUGUUACACAGCUUCCAGCAGAGCACAAACGUCACACCAGUUGUCUGAGCAGUGCCAGCUACCCUGCUGUCCGCUGCUACUGCUGUUUGAAAAGCAUUUCUGACGGGGGUGAUAAAGUUUGGGGUAAUACCUCAGGGCCCUGCAAGCCGCCCCGUGCUGCUUAAAGAGCACUGGUCACUUGUCUCUGAAGUGUGCUCACCUGGAAUCAUGUUUCGAAGAAGCCUGUACGAAUAUCUUUGCCAAUGCUGGGGGGUAGUUAACACUGUCUGCUGUUAGGCACCCUGUAAGAGGCCGGCUCAGUUCAGAGCCAGCAAAUUCUCUGCACACCUUUUGUAGCGAAGAAGUGAGGGGGCAGUUCAGAGCAGCAGGGUAGCUAGGCCACGGCUCUGAACGCCGCGCUCACCGCACACUGCAGAGGAAGUCCAGGGAGUCUUAACUGCCUCCAGCCUUAGACAUCUGUGUUGGGUACCUGAAGUUAUGUCAUAGCAAUACUCAGCACCUUUUACCAGCAUCCAUUUGUGUGAUGGUGUCUCUCGAGCCAGUGUGGUGAGUGCUCACCCCUUGGCUUGGUGAGUGCGUGGGUGAGUAUUGGGGUGCUGUGGAGAUGCAAUUACACUUCCACUUGGAAUUCAGACCACACUGGUCCAUAAGUGACUGUCCGCACACAUGACAAGGAACCUCACUUUCUCCUGAAUGAUGCUAGAAGAUAUAAACGUUCUGAUGGUGCAGCACAGUGAAGCCUUGGAUCUGACUGCUUUCAGAGGGCAGAGGAAGGUCCGUCUACCUGGGCUGAACUGGGCAGUUUUCUCUGCCCUUGUCUGUCUGUGGAGCCAGGAAUGCAAGUUGGCAACAUCAGGGCAGCAAGAGACCAAGGAAACAGCAUGGAAAAUACUGUUGAAGUGGUGGUCAAGGUUGUGUGUCAAGGUCAGGCUGUGCCAAAGAACAGGCCAGGCUUUUAAGGAUGUGCCAGAUAUGACAGCAGAAAUAGCUCUGGAAGAAGACCCGAGAUGAGACCUGCCCUCUAUAGGAGUGACCCCUGCAACCCUGAGGUCACUGCUGAGCUGAGCAGAAGAGGGAGCACCUAUGUAGGAAUAGGAGGACCUGAGCUGUAACCAGUCCUUGCGAUGCUGGUCGCUGGUGCUGCUCCUGGAGCAUUCCAGGAGCUACAUCGAGUGUUUGAGCCAGAGGACUGUCUUGGGGCAGACUGCGCCCUUCCUAGCAGAAGUACCUAGCAGGAGCAGAAGUGUCUAGGUAGCACUUCAGAUGCCAUUGUGUGUAGAGGCAAAGGCAGCUGUUGUGUUGUUAGCCAGUGGUUUUACCAGACCUGUAGGCCUUUUCCUUCCCCUUCCAUCUGCCAGGGUGAGGAUGGCAGCAAGUGACAUGCUCCUUCUCUAUUCCUGCAGGCUGCGUCACUGCCAGCCUUCGGCAUGUAUGUAACGGUAGCUCGUAAGGUUGGACGCUGGACGUGUGAUUGGCAGUAGUUUGUAGCUGGGAGUUUUCUUUUUUGUGCUCAAUAAAGCAAACUUACACCACU